rnacentral:lncRNA from 1 species
AAAUAUUGAUAAUAUUAAUUUAUUACGACAACGCUUGUUGGCAUUCGGUUAAAUUGAAUCGGGUACGCCCAUAAGCGGGUUCGAUCUGACGGAUAUUAUAUUAUCUAAUUGGAUUGGAAUUAAUCUCGCUUUCAAAUUGAAAAGCUAGUUGGAGAUAAAUCCUAGUUAUAUUAGGAUAACAAUUAAUAACCGAUUUGGCCUUAUCUCUAAGGCUAUUAGGAUUUUGGGAUCCCUUAUAAAUAUGCGGGCAAUCUCACAUAACAAAAGGUACAAGAAUGGAAAGAAAAAGAGAGAAUAAGAAAACAAUAGAGAGAAACCACAUCCUCCAUUAACCUAUUAUUCUAGAGGGACUUGCACGGUGGAUUUGUGAUUGUGCUCAUUUGUAGUUCGAUCCACCGCGAGUUCGGAGCGCAAGAAGACUUUCAAGGACGAUCCAAGGAUACGUGAACCAACCUCUACGAUCCGGGCUCGUCGCGUUGUAGCGCGAAUCGCUUCCGCAAAAAAGGUAUGAACGAAUACUUCUGCUGCGUUCUACAUUGGUAUUAGAGCUUGGUCAUAUUGGGCAGGAUAGAAUGAUUAGAUUAGUUAGAGACAGGUUUUUGAGCUCGCUCACUAAAGUCGACCUGCCCACAUGUGAACAUUGUUUAGCGGGAAAAGCGACCCGAAAAAAUGUACGAACGAAUACUUCCGCUGCGUUCUACAACGCUAAUAAUCAUAUUGUGAUGAAAUG